GUUUAUAGCAAUACCACCCUGAAUGGGCACCCAGUCUCAUGUGAUUUCAGAAGCUAAGCAGGAUCAGGCAUGGCUAAUACUAGGAUGGGAGAAAAACAAUCAAGAUCAUUUAGUAGUGUCUGCAGUGGAAACC
rnacentral:rRNA from 1 species